UGAAAAACCCAAAUUUGUUACUCUUUUUAUUUUUUUCUGGUAAGAGAGUAUUGCUAUAAAACUCAGAGAACUUUAUACCAAAGUGGGAUGAAUUGGGCCGUGUCUUCCUGCCUCCUAAUCUGUAAGAUGCAGGCAGGACAUUGCUCCAGCAGACUAUGGGGUCGGGGUGGAGAAGAGCCAUAAUAUAUCCCUUGGCCAGGUCUUAGGCUCCCCCAGCCCCAAGAAAGCCCAGGAAAUAGAUAGAUAGAUAGAUAGAUAGAUAGAUAGAUAGAUAGAUAGAUAGAUAGAUAGAUAGAUAGAUAGAUAGAGACAGACAGACAGACAGACAGACAGACAGACAGACAGACAGAUUUGAGAGUUCUAGAAAAGUCAGGGCUAAACAGAAAAACCCUAUC
rnacentral:lncRNA from 1 species